AAGUUAUUGGACCCGUUCGUGUUGCUAGUUGAUUUUUCCUUUUCACUCUCAGCUGGAUUCCCAGAUCAUCCUCACAGAGGUUUUGAGAGUGUUACA